GUCAAAUCAUGGAGCUGCAAAGACCACAAAUGAGAGGACAGCUGGAGCAAAAUCUUUCAAGCAACACACGGACACGAGCUCAACCUCCCAGAGGAAGGUCAUACCGCGUUGCCAUAGCAAUGGGGAACACCAGCAGUAUGUUAAGAAGGUAGCCUGGAGAGGAGUCGGCAGGGCGUCUGAACUGGAUCUGGCUAAGGAAUUUUAGUGGCCUGGCGCGGAUGUAGGUUGAAUAUUAAUAUAUUCCCUCUGAAUGAAGCCAGAGUAGCUUUUCCUCUAUUCAUUAUAGCACUCUGAUGUUCUGGACCCAUUAACAUCUGUUAAUGCUCAGUACGCACCGCGACACAUCCGGCUCUCAGGACAACGAGGGUAUUUUUAGACAUGUGCUCAUUAGUGCUGAGAGAUCAUUUGUAAUGAAGGACGGGGGGAGAGAAAGGAGGCCAGGAUCUCAGUGAAAGAUGGUAUCCAUGCUCAAAUGUCUGCGGAGCGGGUGGAUUUAAACUGGGAGUGAAAAGAGCGAAGACGGAUGCAGCAGCAAGUUAAAGUUUGCAGAACAAGCUCUAAUCACUUCAAGGGUCCUGAGGUUUUAUCAGGCACAGGGCUGUCAGAAAGCAUCCUGCAUGCUGAUCGAAGCCGUUACAAGAACAGCCAGAUGUCAGGAAAUAAAAAUUGGCUGCAACAUACUGCAGCAAUAAAACA